GUCCCUGAACAAGGCUGGAGCAGCUCUGCAGGAGCAGCCCUUGGGCAUGAGCCCCAGGAGUGUUCCACGUGAAGCUUCCUCCAGAGCUUGGCCAGCACGCAGGAAUCUGAUGUUUAGAAAGCCAUUUUCCUGUCCGUAUAAACAAUUCAACCACAAUAGCCCAAUUCCUGGCUCCGAGGCCUCAUUUAAAUGUUGGCCUCUGAAGGGAAGGACCAGGCCCGUCUUUGGCUUUCGAUUCAGCAGACAGGGAUUGAUAGAACUGACCCCUCCAGUUCCAAGCUCUGCACGCAAGAGAAGAGUUGUGUCCAUCCCACCUGACCAUUUUGGUAACCAUCCACUGCAUCUGGAAAGGCACAAAGGGAAUUUGGGGGGAAUUAGACCAAAGCACAACUUCUCCAGGAUUUGCCCAUUCAACUGUAUUCUGAAACUGCACAGACAUUAGCUAAUUAAUGUGCCAGGACCUGAAAACUUCACUGGCCAGCUCCUGCAGAAAAUACCUAAGUGGCCAUCAGUGUGGAGGACACUGUUUGGAUCUAGAAAAUUUGGAUAUUUUCACAACAGAAGAAACACUUUGAAUGCAUAUUUUGCCAAUUCCUAGAUUACCCUGGCUAUUUUUUUACUGUGCAGCUCACAAGAUGCUCAAAGUGCCCAUAAAGGAUAUGUGGCAGAAGGGAUUUGCCAAAUACAAAAAGAUUUCUGGGAUUCUGUUCAAGUAGUACCAUAGGAAGUCAGGCAGCAGAAGAGAGGCACAUAGGGAUUUUCAGGCAAUAUCCUUCAACUGGAUAUACUAGUCAUGAUCUUGUGAUUAUUUUAUGUAUAUGUGUUACUCUUCCUGAUGACCACACAGAGAAUUUGAUGUCCUUGUGUUCACUCACUGGUAAAUGUUAUAUUUUGCUUAUUAUUUAGAUUUCCUUAGGCUUAAAUGACAUUUUCUAGAUUUUACAGAAAUGUUCCAGAAUUUAUCCUUUCCAAGGUGGCAUGUGCUGUUUGAAAUUAAACUAAAAGACAUCUCUUUGAUGUUACUUUUCAUUCUAAACUUAGCCAUCACAUGCCAAAGCCCCAUUUUUGAUUGAACACAGCUUUCUUCAUUUUUGUAAGUAUUUUUUUUUUUAAAAGAUCUCAUUAAAAAUUAAAUUUUCAUUCCUCUCUAAUGUAUCAGCAAGAUUACAGAACUCUGAUUUACUGUUAGGAUCGGAAAUUAACUUCAAAAGACAAGAAAUGGAAAGUGGUGGCUUA
rnacentral:lncRNA from 1 species